UACGUAGGUGGCGAGCGUUGUCCGGAUUUACUGGGCGUAAAGGGAGCGUAGGCGGACUUUUAAGUGAGAUGUGAAAUACCCGGGCUCAACUUGGGUGCUGCAUUUCAAACUGAAAGUCUAGAGUGCAGGAGAGGAGAAUGGAAUUCCUAGUGUAGCGGUGAAAUGCGUAGAGAUUAGGAAGAACACCAGUGGCGAAGGCGAUUCUCUGGACUGUAACUGACGCUGAGGCUCGAAAGCGUGGGGAGCAAACAGGAUUAGAUACCCGGGUAGU
rnacentral:rRNA from 1 species